AUAAUUUGCAAAGAAGGCUAUUCAGAGAUUGAGAUAGCUUGAGCCCUGCCUAGUAGCAAUGCUAGCUACGUUCGGUUUGGUGGCUAGGUAGUAUCACGGCAACUCCAACGUCUAUGGGCAUAACCGGAUAAUCUGUUGCGAACCCGCCCUGAGUUGUGAGGAGAGAACUACAGUGUGCACAGACCGGCUGUAAGACAACCGCUUCUGUUUGCCCGCACUGUCGUGCACUCCAGCUGGACUGGCCCAGCUGCAAUGCCCUGCCCGGG
rnacentral:lncRNA from 1 species